GAUGAACGCUGGCGGCGUGCCUAAUACAUGCCAGUCGAGCGAACAGACGAGGAGCUUGCUCCUCUGACGUUAGCGGCGGACGGGUGAGUAACACGUGGAUAACCUACCUAUAAGACUGGGAUAACUUCGGGAAACCGGAGCUAAUACCGGAUAAUAUAUUGAACCGCAUGGUUCAAUAGUGAAAGACGGUUUUGCUGUCACUUAUAGAUGGAUCCGCGCCGCAUUAGCUAGUUGGUAAGGUAACGGCUUACCAAGGCAACGAUGCGUAGCCGACCUGGGAGGGUGAUCGGCCACACUGGAACUGAGACACGGUCCAGACUCCUACGGGAGGCAGCAGUAGGGAAUCUUCCGCAAUGGGCGAAAGCUUGACGGAGCAACGCCGCGUGAGUGAUGAAGGUCUUCGGAUCGUAAAACUCUGUUAUGAGGGAAGAACAAAUGUGUAAGUAACUAUGCACGUCUUGACGGUACCUAAUCAGAAAGCCACGGCUAACUACGUG
rnacentral:rRNA from 1 species